UGAAUACGAGACGCUAAGGCGUCGAAGUAGUGUAUGUCAUACUUCCAAGAAAAGCUAGCACUGUCAUAAGUAAAAAAUGCCUGUACCAUAACCGACACAGGUGGGUAGGUAGAGUAUACUAAGGGGCGCGAGACAACUCUCUCUAAGGAACUCGGCAAAAUAACUCCGUAACUUCGGGAGAAGGAGUACCUUAUUCUAUAAGGUUGCAAUAACAAGAUCCAAGCAACUGUUUAUCAAAAACACAGGUCUCCGCUAAGUCGUAAGACGAUGUAUGGGGGCUGACGCCUGCCCAGUGCCAGAAGGUUAAAGAAGUCGGUUAGCAUUAGCGAAGCUGGUAACUGAAGCCCUGGUGAACGGCGGCCGUAACGAUAACGGUCCUAAGGUAGCGAAAUUCCUUGUCGGGUAAGUUCCGACCCGCACGAAAGGCGUAAUGAUUUGGAUACUGUCUCGGAGAGGGGCUCGGUGAAAUAGACUUGUCUGUGAAGAUGCGGACUACCUGCACCAGGACAGAAAGACCCUAUGAAGCUUUACUGUAACUUGAAAUUGAAAUUGGACUUUAUUCGCGCAGUAUAGGUGGGAGGUGUUGAUUAUAAUCUUGCGGGAUUAUUGGAGCCAUCAGUGAGAUACCACUCUUGUAAUGUUAGAUUUCUAACUUUGAAUCAUUAUCUGGUCAAAGGACAGUUUCAGGCGGGCAGUUUGACUGGGGCGGUCGCCUCCCAAACGGUAACGGAGGCGUACAAAGGUUUCCUCUGAACGGGUAGAAAUCGUAUCUAGAGUGUAAAGGCAUAAGGAAGCUUGACUGUGAGACCUACAAGUCGAACAGGGACGAAAGUCGGUCUUAGUGAUCUGACGGUACUGAGUGGAAAGGCCGUCACUCAACGGAUAAAAGUUACUCUAAGGAUAACAGGCUGAUCUCCCCCAAGAGUUCACAUCGACGGGGAGGUUUGGCACCUCGAUGUCGGCUCAUCGCGUCCUGGGGCGGUAGUACGUCCCAAGGGUUGGGCUGUUCGCCCAUGAAAGCGGUACGCGAGCUGGGUUCAGAACGUCGUGAGACAGUUCGGUCCAUAUCCGGUGUAGGCGUUAGAAUAUUGAGAGGAGCCUUCUUUAGUACGAGAGGACCGAGAAGGACAUACCUCUGGUGUACCAGUUAUCGUGCCAACGGUAAACGCUGGGUAGCUAUGUAUGGAGUGGAUAACCGCUGAAAGCAUCUAAGUGGGAAGCCCACCUCAAGAUAAGUAUUCUCC
rnacentral:rRNA from 1 species